GAGAGCUCCCAUUUAAACCAGCAUGACCAGCGAUGAACUAAAUCAGACGCUUUGGUUUUAUCAAACAAGUCCAUUUUUAGUAAAAUGAAACAAUUUACCCUCUUGAAUUUUCUGAGGUAAGUCACUCAGCAUUGUGAUGACGGCAGGAAACGUUGUCAUAGACUGACAAAUGAAACCAAUGGAACUUUUCAUAUUUUUUCAAACUUUUCAUUUCGGUCAACGAAUACUCCUACCUUUGCCACUUGAUCGUACGCCAUCUUUGAGAACCAGUAAUCUCGUCAAGGCCCAGUAUAUUUGACACAGAAAGUCUUCUGUGUAGUACUGGUGUGUGUAAAUUUUCUGUAAGAUAAAUCACUUUUCAAAUUCUGUAUUUGCCAUUUCUGAUGCAAUCUAAAAUAUCAUUUAAAGGUUAAGUGCCCAAAGGACCUUGGUGGCAAAACAGCUGAAUGGCUCAGAUAAGAGCGACAAAUUCUUCACUUUCUUCUUCAUUUGUCAAUUACCGAGUACUUUCUUAUGCACUUGCCAGAUAGUUUAGAUUCAUUACCGACUCAAGCCAUUAUUGGACCCCAGUCUGGGUACCAGCACCGACAGUUCCCAUCCUGUUCGGUAAGUUGUCUCUGCACUGACCCGCUGUAAGCUGUUUUCUGAACGCCUUCGAUUGUGAAAGGUUCCGUGAUUAUUCAAAUUGUCAUUUCCGAUAAUUCUUUAACGCAGAAUUCAACUGGAUGAGAAUCUCGAUGUCCACCCACUCCAUCCACAUACAUACAUUGGCACUCACGACACAUUGUCACUCUUCUCCCGCCCAAUGAAUAUCACAAUUGAAUAAGAGCUGAAGAGAGUAAGACAAAUACCAAUCUUCAUUGAGAAUGUCAGUCCAAUUGACAUCAUGAGCAAUCCCAUGGUGAUUCAGCCACACAAUAGUUGUGAUCAUCUCCUUGAAGAUCCAAGAGUGCUCAGUGUAAGAUGGGAUCACUUGGAUGCCUCAGAUCAGUUGGAUGCUUUGAGAACCACUCAACCACAACACAACCAUCACGCCAAAACCACAUGCCAUUGUGGAUAAUGUUGGACAAUCUUUGGGUCUCGAACUUUAAUGCCAGCUCAUUGCAAGAUGAACACUUUCAGAAAAACAGGUAGCACAGAAGAAUGGGCAUUCUUCAUCAUUCAUAACCAUUCAUCAAUCAGACAUAUCAUUGGACGGCAAACUAAUGCCUUCCAACUUGGCCACCUUCUGUUACUGGCCAAACCCCCAAUCCAUUAAAAGAAGAACAAAUCUAAAACAUUUCUAAACACGUCCAUGGAUAGUUAGCUAUCUGUCUCUGUCUCAGGAUAGUCAUUCAGUUGAGUUCACAGUUAAUUAUAACCCUCGGUCAUUCAUUCAUAAUGAGCCUUGGUUGUUAAAGGCUUGCCUGCUUGGUCUUUAUCAUUAUAGUCCACUGGUUGAUUUGAUUUUAAUUGGGGAUUGAAGUGUACAACGUACUUAAAGCAAGAGCGCCAUUUUCUUUGUUAUCUUCUUUUUAGGAGGCUCCAUGCUUGUCAGAACAUGUGGCUCUGAAUUGGCGUUUGGAAAAUCAAUUGGACCAGUGCUUCUCGUUUAAGGGUACAAAAAAUACUAGUGGCGUUCCAGGGCCCUACCUCAUGUUGCAUUGCAAUCAAAAUGUCAGGGACUAACAGAUUAGAGCCAAGAAAUCAAAAAAGACCCAUUUCUGCUCUGCCAAGUAUGUUGCAAGAAUCAAGAAACAUUGGACUAUGUAAUUAAUUUAAAAUUGUCUUUGCAUUGGGCCAGAGGAUCACUUUUAGCCAGACUUGAAUGUGUUGUUGUCCCAACCCUCAAUUGGAGGUGUGUUCAAACACUCAGAGUCUGGUUUCAGUUUAUGGGUGCGUUGCCCAUUCUCAUCCCAUGGAGCGGAAGAACAUUUGCAUGUCAACCACCAUCAAAGAUCAUACUGUGGCGCUCCUCACAUCCUGGAUCACGCCAGAAGUUGUCAUUGUCAAGUACUUGUCAACUAAUGACAUGGAUCCUGAGAGUUAGCCUGUCACAUACCACAACAUCUACAGAAUCAAGAAGAAUCUAAAUCUUGAUGGUUAGUCACUGUCCAGAAUUUAUGGGAAAAUUACAGACCAAUUAUUGAAUCCAUAAAUAGCCUAUGGCAGGAAAGCCUCAGAAGUAAGAACUGUCUCCUCCUGAUUGGUCAAUCCAUCCUUCCAUGGUUUUGAUAAUAGGAAGAAAUUUGACAUGUCUUCAAUGUCAGAGGACAUUGCAAACAAACUGAUUGAAAUGUCGAGAUACUUCCAGCUUAUACCAGCCCUGACAUGAUUCAAAGAUUCCAUGAUCAUCAUACAAUUACAUGGAUUGACAGUGCUCAUGGCACCAAUGUGGCUAAAUAUGUUUUGAUCUCCAUCUUGGUGUUUGGGAAUGACAGGAAAAAUGGCAUAUUUCCUGGUCAAAUGUGUCAAGGUUGAUAUGUGGUGAAAUCAAACAUCUAACCUGUACACAAGAUGACAAUGUUUAUGGAAUCCUUCAAAAAACCCUUUGCCAAUCUCAUCAAUACCCCACGCUUUCUCAACCCCAUCUCAUUUCCAAGAUUGGAUCACAAGAAGGUUUACAAACCACAAAACUGUUCUUACUUUCCAUCAAAAACUAUCAGGCCCAACACUCACAUUUCAUAGUCUUAAGUUCUUGGCGCACUUUGGCCAGGAGCUUUAUUUCAUUGUUUCAAUUGAGAUAUCAUUAUGUUAAUAUAAUAUUUUUUUUCA